GCACCGAUAGUUCAGUGGUAGAACAUCAGCUUCCCAAGCUGACUAUGCGGGUUCGAUUCCCGUUCGGUGCUCCA
rnacentral:tRNA from 1 species